GACGAACGCUGGCGGCGUGCUUAACACAUGCAAGUCGAACGGUAAGGCCCUUCGGGGUACACGAGUGGCGAACGGGUGAGUAACACGUGGGUGAUCUGCCCUGCACUUCGGGAUAAGCCUGGGAAACUGGGUCUAAUACCGGAUAGGACCACUGCCUGCAUGGGUGGUGGUGGAAAGCUUUUGCGGUGUGGGAUGGGCCCGCGGCCUAUCAGCUUGUUGGUGGGGUGAUGGCCUACCAAGGCGACGACGGGUAGCCGGGCUGAGAGGGUGACCGGCCACACUGGGACUGAGAUACGGGCCAGACUCCUACGGGAGGAAGCAGUGGGGAAUAUUGCACAAUGGGCGCAAGCCUGAUGCAGCGACGCCGCGUGAGGGAUGACGGCCUUCGGGUUGUAAACCUCUUUCAGCACCGACGAAGCGCAAGUGACGGUAGGUGCAGAAGAAGGACCGGCCAACUACGUGCCAGCCGCCGCCGUAA
rnacentral:rRNA from 1 species